GCUCGCAUGGAUUACGUCCCUGCCCUUUGUACACACCGCCCGUCGCACCUACCGAUUGAAUGAUUCGGUGAAAAUUCUGGACUGUGGCUCGGACGCCUUCGGGCGACCUUGCUGUGGGAAGUUAUUUAAACCUCAUCAUUUAGAGGAAGGUGAAGUCGUAACAAGGUUUCCGUAGGUGAACCUGCGGAAGGAUCAUUACCACACCCUCAAAUA
rnacentral:rRNA from 1 species